ensembl:lncRNA
UUUGUUCUGCGCACAACAGACGCAGCAACACACGUCGCUCCCACUGGGAAUCAAUAUCAAUGAGGCAGAAACGUAGCGUGAAGAAACCCUUCAGUCAAACAACAAGUUCACGAGAGGGAGAUUUCACUUCGCAACCAGGCGAAAUGACUUUAACCGGCUUUGUGUUCCUCACUGUAUUAAAAGGGUAUUAAGAUGAUUUUCCCACAGGCAGAGUUCACUUGUCUUCCUAACGUAAUGGUUCCAGUAAAACACUAACGCAUUUUUAAUUACACAACUAUUGAGUUAAACUAUAUGCUUAAAUGUGUCAUUAGCACUUCCAGACGUCAACCCCGGUCCCCUGGGUGAUCACAGCGCGAUACAGUAUCUGGACAAGGCCUAAUAAAAACAACAGAGCAAUCAAAGCCGCAGGCGCCAGAUUAAAAACACCUCACCGCAGGUAUCGCACAGACUCCCUUUAAUGUAAAGGGAGAUUAACGUGAAGAUGCCACUCAAGCAGUACAGCGCUGCAUCAAUCCACCCAGAACCCGAACAAACACUGGAUCACAAAGAUUUGAAAUCUGAGUAUGAGCUCGGCUCAAAUCAAGCUGAAGCUUGUUUUUAUUGAUAUGUAUCACAUUUAAAUGCAUUUUACUUUAUGUCUGUGUAUCCUCUACAGCAUUGUAAGAAUAAUAAUACACACCAACAUCUGCAGUUAAUCGUUUUGUUUUUUUUUCUAAAAAAGGUUUCUUUGCUUUUUUUAAACACACUUCAAACUAAAAACAAACGGAUACGUUUCAGAUUCUGCCAACAGAACGUGCACUUUACUGGUCAGAGCGUUCAGACGUGAAUGCCUCAGCAUCAAGCAACCAGAGUACACAAGACCAGUCAAAUCCAUCACACCCUCUGAACAUCUGAACAAGCGUUACAUUAAGAUGCACUUGUCAGUCUUGAGUGCGUUCCCACUAAGACAGCUAAGAUCCUUAGGGUCAGGUGACAGCACGGCAGGCCUGGCGUGGGACUGGCAGGCAGCACUGGAUUUGAACAGGGACGGGCCCACGCCGGCUCCGAGACCAACAGGAAGCAAACAAACACAUGGCGGCGAGAGCAAAACAUGCAUUUGCAAGUCGCUCUCCUUAAUCCUCCCCCUCAAGACCCCAAAGCCGUACUUACCCUCCCUCCUCUCUCCUCCCUUCUUUGUCACCCCUAAGUCUUCUUAAUAUUCCUAUUGGCACGCAUUAAAGCAAAGGCCACGAUAUGGAGAGAUGCCAAGCAGCCAAAAGGAGCAUUACUCAUCAGGGUCAUGCUCCACCGCGCAAAACACAAUCCCUCAUACAUCAUCAUAACUGCCACCCUACGACAAUUACAAUUGAGAUGGCAAGAAGUAGGAGAGCGCUCUUUAAUUUAACAUCCAAUUAUUACAAGUUAUCACCCCUUGAUCAAUGUAAUGUAACGGACAAUCAAUGUUGCAUGUGACACGGGACGCGGGAGCUGGAGCUGGAGGAGGCUGUGCAUUGUUUGGUUAAGGGUAGCGGCGCUUGGUGCCGUAGGUGGGAUGAGUACAUUUAAAUAAGUCUCCUCUUAUGACUCAUUCACCCACUGUGCAUCACGUGAGGAACUGUGAGGGCGGAUGUACCAUAUAUUACUACUCACCAUGAUCAGAUUUACAUAUGCACCAAUGCUGUAGCGCUAACGAUCUUGGAGGGCGCCGACAAAAACAAGGAUGAAAGCAAAGCAUGUAAUAAAAGAUGAUAAUAAAUAGCA